CACGUAGGGCGCAAGCGUUGUCCGGAAUUAUUGGGCGUAAAGAGCUCGUAGGCGGUUUGGUAAGUCGGGUGUGAAACCUCCAGGCUCAACCUGGAGCCGCCACUCGAUACUGCCAUGACUUGAGUCUGGUAGGGGACCACGGAAUUCCUGGUGUAGCGGUGAAAUGCGCAGAUAUCAGGAGGAACACCAGUAGCGAAGGCAGCGUCGCUGGGACGUACUGACACUGAGGCGCGAAAGCGUGGGGGAGCGAACAGG
rnacentral:rRNA from 1 species